GAUUUCAAUUUAAAAAGUCAUCAAUAUCAAAGUUGUAUAACACAUCAAGAUCUAUAACUUUUAUUUGGGUCAUUUCUUCAUCCGGCAAAGUGAUUUGUAACAUUGUUCACAAAAUGUAUAUACCUCUUAUAUAAUUUAUAAACCAUAACAGAGAUAUGUAAAUUUUGUGAACAAUACUAUCAUUAUUUUAUCGGAUGAAAAAAUGACAAAACUAAAAGUUAUAGAUAUUGAUGAGUUAUACAACUUUGUUGUUGAUGACUUUUUCAGUUGAAAUC
rnacentral:pre_miRNA from 1 species